rnacentral:rRNA from 1 species
UACGGAGGGUGCGAGCGUUGUCCGGAAUCACUGGGCGUAAAGGGCGCGUAGGCGGCUUCUCAAGCGUGUGGUGAAAGUCCAGGGCUCAACCCCGGAUCGGCCGUGCGGACUGGGGAGCUCGAGUUCUGUAGAGGCGGGUGGAAUUCCGGGUGUAGCGGUGGAAUGCGCAGAUAUCGGGAAGAACACCCGUGGCGAAGGCGGCACUCUGGGACGGUACUGACGCUGAGACGCGAAAAGCGUGGG